AGCAGCCGCGGUAAUUCCAGCUCCAAUAGCGUAUAUUGAAGUUGUUGCAGUUAAAAAGCUCGUAGUUGAAUUUUCGGAAUCAAUAUGUUGGUCGUGCCUCGGUACGUACUAGCUUAUUGGUUUCUCCUUUCUGAAGAACCAUGAUGUCAUUUAUUUGGUGUCGUGGGGAAUCAGGACUGUUACUUUGAAAAAAUUAGAGUGUUUAAAGCAGGCUCACGCUUGAAUACAUUAGCAUGGAAUAAUGAAAUAGGACGUUUGAUUCUAUUUUGUUGGUUUCUAGGAUCGACGUAAUGAUUAAUAGGGAUAGUUGGGGGCAUUAGUAUUCAAUUGUCAGAGGUGAAAUUCUUGGAUUUAUUGAAGACUAACUACUGCGAAAGCAUUUGCCAAGGAUGUUUUUCAUUAAUCAAGAACGAAAGUUAGGGGAUCGAAGACGAUCAGAUACCGUCGUAGUCUUAACCAUAAACUAUGCCGACUAGGGAUCGGAUGAUGUUAAUUUUUUUAAUGACUCAUUCGGCGCCUU
rnacentral:rRNA from 1 species